rnacentral:rRNA from 1 species
AUUGAACGCUGGCGGCAUGCUUUACACAUGCAAGUCGAACGGUAACAGGCCGCAAGGUGCUGACGAGUGGCGAACGGGUGAGUAAUGCAUCGGAACGUGCCCAGUCGUGGGGGAUAACUACUCGAAAGAGUAGCUAAUACCGCAUACGAUCUAUGGAUGAAAGCGGGGACCGUAAGGCCACGCGCGAUUGGAGCGGCCGAUGUCAGAUUAGGUAGUUGGUGGGGUAAAGGCUCACCAAGCCAACGAUCUGUAGCUGGUCUGAGAGGACGACCAGCCACACUGGGACUGAGACACGGCCCAGACUCCUACGGGAGGCAGCAGUGGGGAAUUUUGGACAAUGGGCGCAAGCCUGAUCCAGCAAUGCCGCGUGCAGGAAGAAGGCCUUCGGGUUGUAAACUGCUUUUGUACGGAACGAAACGGCUCUGGUUAAUACCCGGGGCUAAUGACGGUACCGUAAGAAUAAGCACCGGCUAACUACGUG